GGAAAAUGAGUGCCCCAGAAGAGAAUGAGAGGAACUCAAUGAGAGACUGAAAAUAUUAAACACACAAAAGUUCUGGCAUCAGAGGAGGAGAGGAAGGAGCACAGCUACACCAGAAUCGCUCUUGCUGAAGUACAAGAGGGAGGGCAGCAAAGGACAUGAGAGCUUAAGAUCACAUCUGGAAAUAAUGAGGGAAGAAAACAGAACCAUUCUAAAAUCACCAAACCUAAUAUUAUAAAGGAUUUUUUUUUAAUGAGAGAAGCACCUUUCUCAGCUGUACCAGAGAGAACCAGCCAGACUGUGAGUGUCAGCAGUGCCAUCUGGAAUUUAUCAGUGCUAACAAGACAUGUGGAGAUGUGCCUGUUUUUAACAGAAACCAACUUCACUCUCUGCAUUGUCCUUUAUGAUCAAAAAGUGCUGUUUUGGAAAAAGGCUUAAUGUUCACUGUGUUUCUAUGUUCCCAGCUCAAACUGUAAAGAAAAGGAAGAUUAUGCCCAUUUUAAAGACAAUGAAAUGUCUUUGUGUCUAAGGAUAUUUGGAUUAAAUGAUUUCAAACUUUUUCUGCUCCUUGCUCUUUGUCAAG
rnacentral:lncRNA from 1 species